GACGAACCGUGCGAACGUUAUUCGGAAUCACUGGGCUUAAAGCGCGUGUAGGCGGGACGGCACGUCGGUCGCUGAAAGCCCCCGGCUCAACCGGGGAACGGGCGCCGAUACGACCGCCCUCGAGGAACGUAGGGGGACCUGGAACUUCCGGUGUAGCGGUGAAAUGCGCAGAUAUCAGGAAGAACACCCGUGGCGAAGGCGGCUCUCUGGGCCGAUACUGACGCUGAGGAGCGAAAGCGUGGGGAGCGAACAGG
rnacentral:rRNA from 1 species